rnacentral:rRNA from 1 species
CCUACGGGAGGCAGCAGUGGGGGAUAUUGCACAAUGGGGGAAACCCUGAUGCAGCGACGCCGCGUGAGUGAAGAAGUAUUUCGGUAUGUAAAGCUCUAUCAGCAGGGAAGAAAAUGACAGUACCUGACCAAGAAGCCCCGGCUAACUACGUGCCAGCAGCCGCGGUAAUACGUAGGGGGCAAGCGUUAUCCGGAUUUACUGGGUGUAAAGGGAGCGUAGACGGUUAUGUAAGUCUGAAGUGAAAGCCCGGGGCUCAACCCCGGGACUGCCUGGGAAACUGUGUAACUGGAGAACAGGAGGGGCAGGCGGAAUUCAUGGUGUAGCGGUGAAAUGCGUAGAGAUCAGGAGGAACACCGGCGGCGAAGGCGGCCUGCUGGACUGCAACUGACGUUGAGGCUCGAAAGCGUGGGGAGCAAACAGGAUUAGAUACCCUAGUAGUC